ACAUCUGUUGCUGGAAACUCCUGCCCUUCUCCCGGAUCAAUCUGAAUGUUCUUCUCCGCAUGUUUUCCGUUUUGGUUCAUUCGGUUCGCACAUGUCCAUCCUUUUCUCAUCCUUCAAAUUUAUGUUCUCGUGGGUUUUUCUAUUUCAGGGCCUCUUGAAGGGCCACGGUCCUUUCCUGCCGUCUUAAUUGGACUAUAAUCAGCCCUUUAAUGAACUUUAAUUCUCUAAAAUUUCCCUCCUUUCACUGAUGAAGUGAAGCAGAAAAGCUUAGACUCUCACUUUCUGUCGCUCAGUUUGCAGCAGGCCUGCAGGAAAGAGAGGCCAACCCAAAAAAGAAAGAGUGAUAAUUAAGUAUUUUACAAGCUGGGCCGUUUUUUUCUAACUUGUUGGGCUGAGACUAAGAUUUCGCAGCUCCUCUCUUUCUCCUGCAGAUAAAAAAGAAAACCUCUGUGACGGUUUAUUGUCGCUCCACUGCAGAGCCUUUGUUGCCGCCCUUUGUUGCCGUUUUGGGGAUUAUAAUUUGCAUAAUUCUUCAGGAAUGUAUCAUUUUAAUUUUGUUUAACAAACCGUGACCUUUUCCAAGGCCUUUAUCCUUUUAGACAGGAUGCCAUUACAAGCCAAUAAAGAGCAGCACGUUUGUUCUGAUCUUGAUGUUGAUGAAUAAUAAAGAAUCCAUGC